GGAUAACUGUAUUUGUAAGUAUUUACUCACACCAGUUUUUUGUAGGGCAAAGUACAUUUAGAUAUCCCGUGGUUUAGCACUUUUAUUAUUGAGGGCUUGAGGGAUUUUUUGUUUAAAAUUAGAAUUUGUGAAUUUGCAUCUUUAGCACUUGGUUGACAAAAGGUCUGACAAUGUCAAAAAAUAUUGACGUGGAGUCAUUUUCAAUUUUUUGGUUUUAGGCGGUAGUGUCUAAUGGUGCCACAUCAACAUUUUUUUGAUGCCGUUAGACAUUUUGUCACUUAAGCAUUAACAGUGCAAAACCACAAAUCCUGACUUACAAUAAAACAUUCCUCAGGCCCUCAAUAAUAAAAGCCUAAAACUACUGGUUAUUUAAUUGUACUUUAUCUCUUUUGGUAUUAUUCUUGUUAAUAUCCGCUUGAUUAGUUCCUUGGAACACCCUCCACCCAAUUGCUUACUGAAGGCAACUAAAUUGAGUCAAUUCUUUGCAGCUGAUAGUUGCAGCAGGAAUGGGUCCAAUACUAGCCCUGAAGUACUUUCGCUACACGUAUAGACCCAGUAAAAUCAACACUCUACAGCAGGCUGAACGUUUGGGUGGACCAAUCUUGUCUCUGGGGAAUAUCGAACCACAACCAAGAUCA
rnacentral:misc_RNA from 1 species